AUGGCCUACAAGGAGAAUGUGAACCCCGGCUUGUACGGCCUGCUUAAGAAUGGGGCCCCCGCCCCCCCCGCAGCCCAGCGGGUGCCCCUCAAGGACCCCGCCACCACGGGGACCCCCUCCGAUGCCCUCCUGCUGCAGAGAGCCACCGGCCGGCCUCCCCCCGUGCCAGGCAGAAGCCAGCUUCGGUUUCAGAAGAGUACAGGCCAUGGAGCUUGGAUCAGUUCACAGGGGAGAGAAGACAGCGCAGGGAGAGGACAGCCAAGUCCAGCAGGAGCUGAGGCCUUUCUGAGCAGAGGCCACAGCCCUCACAGCUCCCCCCCAGCCUCCUCAGCAACCCACAGCAGUGAUGAACGCUGUCCUCCUCCUCCUCCUCUCCAGAAGAUGCUCCGCGUGCAGCCCCAGAGACCACGCUCCCAGGGCCGUGUUUGCCUCCAGCUACAAGGGAACAGACGGUGA
rnacentral:lncRNA from 1 species